CUGGAAGUCUGCCAUCAUCUCCGACCCCUGAGGUGACGUUGUAUCUACAGGCCUGAGUCCUCAUCUCCGACCCCUGAGGUGACGGUGUAUCUACAGGCCUGAGUCCUCAGCUCCGUCAGGGAGGUGACAGCGAUGAGGUGUUCUGUCUGAUUUGACGCUGAUGAAUUCAGCUCAGCGGCCAACUGAAUCAGGAAACUGAUACCGACGGCUUAUCUUGUAUAUUGUCGGUAUUAUUGUGGAUUUAAUUUGAUCUUUAAAUGUGAUAUUGGAAACGAGUAAGAGACGUGAUGUUUAUCUAUUAUUUACUUGUAAUAAAAGUAAACUAUAUUUACCGUUUAACUCGAUCCAGGAAAUUAAUAAAAUCAUAAAAAAAAUAUCAGAAGUACGACCUGUACAAAACAGGUUUGGUUUAGUUUCAUCGUUGAACGUUUCAAUCAGCUGAACUGUUCGCCUCUCCAGAGUGACGGACUCAUCUGGGAACCGGACGGAGAACGGCGGAGAAAGUUCCAUAACACAGGGAGCCAUCCCCAGCAGGGACCCCAGACUGGAGCUCUGUUCUGGGGCAUGCCCCAGCCUGCCCGCCCCCCCCACUCCCAGGGGCUCCAGGGAGUUUAAUUAAGUCUAAUAGGCCAGGCCGUCACCUGUAGUCGUUGAUCAGGUCUCCUGGGGCGGGCCACAUGUGAAACAGUGUCGUAAGUCAGCAUCACAAACAUCAAAGGUUUCCAGCUCCUCCAACGUCUUCAACGUCUAUAACCAGCAGCCGCUGGUUAUAGACGAGCUGGGGUUAGAUAGUUUGAAUGAAGCUGGUCAUCUCGUGGUGAAACGUGUCAUCUGUGUUCUAAUCUAAUCCUAAUCUCUGCCCCAGAACAGAAGCCCAGCCCCACCAAGCCAAGCCCAGCUCUGUGGGCGGGAUGCUGCUCAAGGGCCCUGGCAGAAGUAGUGAGCCAACGCCCGGGGAUUGGAACCGGCACACAGAGGUAACCAGAACAUAAAUGGAAGAAAGUAAUGGGACGGGUUCGAUUCCCAGUUCAAAGGUACUGCGUUCGAUUCUCCAAUGUCUGCGGUGCAUACUAAUAAUAUUAUAUAAUACUAACUGAAUUAUAUAAUACUAAUAGUAUUAUAUAAUCCCAACAGCAUUAUACAUUGGUAGACCCACACAGUGUACUGGGGCCCUAUCACAUCAAUGAGUUAAAUGAACCUUUUGGGAGAAGUGUACCAGCGCUGUGUAAAACAAGUGGGAGGGUCCAACCAGAUGUGUGAUGUACAGGUCAGCCAACCAGUUUGAUCAGUCGCCUGAUCCAUCCACCAUCCUCAACAUCUCCCAAUGAUGCCACUUUCGGGUGGAUUUGGAUAUGGACUUGAGGUCUGCCAACAAACCCCUACCCCUCCUUCUCAUGGUCAUGGUCGUCGAAAAAUCUUCAUCUAGUGUGUGUAGUGAGGGUCUAGGGAGGGUCAAAUAUUAAACCAUUGGACUAGCUCUCAGGGUACCUUUCGCCAGCUUGUGGGGACGUUCACUGACCCCAUUUGGGACAUGUUUACAUCUUACUAUUCUAUGAAGUCAUUGAGCUGACACCUUAAUCAGAGGUGUGUCAUACACUAAAUUCAGGUCCGUCCUGAAACCAAUCGUGGCCUGUCCACCAUGACCCCAG
ensembl:lncRNA